CAGUAUCAGGCAUAAUGAGAAGAUUGCGUGCUACAUGACUAUCAGGGUUGAGAAGGCGAUGCAGCUACUGAAGAGUGGCCUGAAGGUGAAGGAGUAUGAGCUACUCAGGAGGAACUUCAACGACACCGGAUGCUUUGGCUUCGGUAUCCAGAGCACAUCGAUCUCGGUGUGAACUACCAAGACUCUUGAGUUUAUGGUGAUGGCAGUUGACACGGAGCCGGUCGAAAUCUUCCCCCACCCCCUGUUGCUCCCUGAUGAUAACAAGAUUUGGAAGCUGGGAAUCUGGGGAAUGCGAAGUUGAAGAGACCUGGAGUAUCUAGACUGUAAUUGCCAUUGUAUAUGUGUUAUAUGA